rnacentral:lncRNA from 1 species
CCUGGAUUCUGGAAUGAGGGUGGAAACUGAACUCCCAGCCAAGCGGUGAUGGGGUGAUGGACGGAAAUGACAAAACUAAAAGAUUGUGAUGCUGGCAGACCAGAUCCGGGGACCCAGAGGUGGUCCCACAGAACCAGCUGAGAGAGUCCUUGGCUUCGGAUUGGAUGGAAAUCAAAUAUGAGCCAGCAGAAGAGAGAGAGAGCGUGAGAGAGCCAAGCAGGAGGAGUGGCAGAGGGAGAGGGAGAAGCAGACUCCCCCUUGAGCAGGGACCCCGAUGCGGGGCUUGA